AUUGAACGCUGGCGGCAUGCUUUACACAUGCAAGUCGAACGGGCUUGGGGCUUGCUCCCAAGUUAGUGGCGAACGGGUGAGUAAUACAUCGGAACGUACCGUGUAGUGGGGGAUAACUUAGCGAAAGUUAGGCUAAUACCGCAUACGAUCUACGGAUGAAAGUGGGGGACCUUCGGGCCUCACGCUAUACGAGCGGCCGAUGUCUGAUUAGCUAGUUGGUGAGGUAAAGGCUCACCAAGGCGACGAUCAGUAGCGGGUCUGAGAGGAUGAUCCGCCACACUGGGACUGAGACACGGCCCAGACUCCUACGGGAGGCAGCAGUGGGAAUUUUGGGACAAUGGGCGAAAGGCCUGAUCCAGCCAUGCCGCGUGUCUGAAGAAGGCCUUC
rnacentral:rRNA from 1 species